rnacentral:tRNA from 1 species
UUAAUAAAAGUGAAAUUAUCACAUUCAGUUUCGACCUGAAAAUUUGAACUAACAUUCUUAUUUUA